rnacentral:rRNA from 1 species
CCUACGGGGCGCAGCAGUGGGGAAUAUUGCACAAUGGGGGAAACCCUGAUGCAGCGACGCCGCGUGAGUGAAGAAGUAAUUCGUUACGUAAAGCUCUAUCAGCAGGGAAGAAAUACUGACCUUACGGUCAGCAGACGGUACCUGACUAAGAAGCCCCGGCUAACUACGUGCCAGCAGCCGCGGUAAUACGUAGGGGGCAAGCGUUAUCCGGAUUUACUGGGUGUAAAGGGAGCGUAGACGGCGCGGCAAGUCUGAAGUGAAAGGCAGGGGCUUAACCCCUGAACUGCUUUGGCAACUGCCAUGCU